AUUUUAAAUCACAAUAGGAGUUGAGAAGCUUGCCACAGUUCACAGAUUCCCUGAAAUCUCUCCACAGGUUCUCAGAUGAAGAACUGGAUUCAAUGAUGUAAAUUUUACCACCAAAUGUGUACGCUUCUGUUGGAAACAUCACAGCGUCUGAAGUAUGGAAGUUGAGAAUCAUCCCACAAGGCAAUGGAGAGCAAAGUAAAGUGGACCAAACCAGGAGAAGUUGAACAGCAACAACAGCAGUCCAAUGAUCAACUGUGAAUGACAAUUAAUAUCCACAAUGCAAAGAUCCAGGACCCCAAGGGGCUCAUAAAAAAAGAUGUAUAACAGAAUGAGUCAACAUUUUGCCGGCCACAGCUACCUGAUUGUGGCGUGCCUAGUUGAGACUGACAAAAAAUAAACAAACGCACUAAAUGAGGAACAGAAUUCCAGGCUUGGUAUUAGUAAGCCAUUUAUACAGAAGAUGCUUGUCUGGAAAACAGGACCCAGCUGUUCUCAUACCACUUAGCUAUGGAAUGGAGCCGAGGGAAAAGGAAAGAGAGAUGAACAAAUCAAAGAACAAAUUACAUUUCUUUAGUGAUGGGUCAUACUCACCAGUUUUUGAGUGAAGCAAAGAAACAACUCUCUGCCCCCACUGAAGCUGAUUUUCUUGUAAAUCUCUGCACAGACUUCAUGGAAGAUCAAGGUAUUCAGGCCCAAAUUACUGUUGAUGGUAUUUUGUUAAUGUCUCGAAUAGACUAGAAAUUGGCUCCACUCAAUGCUGACACACUAAAUGCAGCUGUGGU
rnacentral:lncRNA from 1 species